UACGGGGGGGGCAAGCGUUGUUCGGAAUUACUGGGCGUAAAGGGCCAGUAGGCGGCCAACUAAGUCGGAUGUGAAAUCCCCAGGCUCAACUUGGGAACUGCAUCCGAUACUGGAUGGCUUGAAUUCGGGAGAGGGAUGCAGAAUUCCAGGUGUAGCGGUGAAAUGCGCAGAUAUCAGGAGGAACACCAAUGGCGAAGGCAGCUCGCUGGGACGGUACUGACGCUGAGGCGCGAAAGCGUGGGGAGCAAACAGG
rnacentral:rRNA from 1 species